rnacentral:rRNA from 1 species
GACGAACGCUGGCGGCGUGCCUAAUACAUGCAAGUCGAACGCAGUGGGGACGGGUGAGUAACACGUGGGUAACCUCCCAUCAGAGGGGAAAACACUUGGACACAGGUGCUAAACCGAUACAGAUGGAUGGACCCGCGGUGCAUUAGCUAGUUGGUGAGGUAACGGCUCACCAAGGCCAUCAUGCAUACGGGACCGUGAAGGUUGUUGGGCAACACUGGGACUGAGAAACGGCCCAGACUCCUACGGGAGGCAGCGUGAGGAAAUCUUCGGAAAUGGACGAAAGUCUGACCGGGCACCGCCGGUUGAGUAAAAAAGUUUUUGGGAUCGUAAAACUCUGUUGUUAGAAAAACGGUAUCUAACCAGAAAGCCACGGCUAACUACGUGCCAGCAGCCGCGGUAAUAC